AUUGAACGCUGGCGGCAUGCCUUACACAUGCAAGUCGAACGGAUUCAGGGGCUUGCUCCUGAGUUAGUGGCGAACGGGUGAGUAAUGCAUCGGAACGUGCCCAGUCGUGGGGGAUAACUACUCGAAAGAGUAGCUAAUACCGCAUACGUCCUGAGGGAGAAAGCGGGGGAUCGCAAGACCUCGCGCGAUUGGAGCGGCCGAUGUCGGAUUAGCUAGUUGGCGGGGUAAAGGCCCACCAAGGCGACGAUCCGUAGCUGGUCUGAGAGGAUGAUUAGACACACUGGAACUGAGACACGGUCCAGACUCCUACGGGAGGCAGCAGUGGGGAAUUUUGGACAAUGGGCGAAAGCCUGAUCCAGCCAUGCCGCGUGAGUGAAGAAGGCCUUCGGGUUGUAAAGCUCUUUCGGACGGAAAGAAAUCGCACGGGAUAACACCCUGUGCGGAUGACGGUACCGUAAGAAGAAGCACCGGCUAACUACGUGCCAGCCGCCGCCGUAACAC
rnacentral:rRNA from 1 species